GGGACACGUGGUAUCCUGUCUGAAUAUGGGGGGACCAUCCUCCAAGGCUAAAUACUCCUGACUGACCGAUAGUGAACCAGUACCGUGAGGGAAAGGCGAAAAGAACCCCGGCGAGGGGAGUGAAAAAGAACCUGAAACCGUGUACGUACAAGCAGUGGGAGCACGCUUAGGCGUGUGACUGCGUACCUUUUGUAUAAUGGGUCAGCGACUUAUAUUCUGUAGCAAGGUUAACCGAAUAGGGGAGCCGAAGGGAAACCGAGUCUUAACUGGGCGUUAAGUUGCAGGGUAUAGACCCGAAACCCGGUGAUCUAGCCAUGGGCAGGUUGAAGGUUGGGUAACACUAACUGGAGGACCGAACCGACUAAUGUUGAAAAAUUAGCGGAUGACUUGUGGCUGGGGGUGAAAGGCCAAUCAAACCGGGAGAUAGCUGGUUCUCCCCGAAAGCUAUUUAGGUAGCGCCUCGUGAAUUCAUCUCCGGGGGUAGAGCACUGUUUCGGCAAGGGGGUCAUCCCGACUUACCAACCCGAUGCAAACUGCGAAUACCGGAGAAUGUUAUCACGGGAGACACACGGCGGGUGCUAACGUCCGUCGUGAAGAGGGAAACAACCCAGACCGCCAGCUAAGGUCCCAAAGUCAUGGUUAAGUGGGAAACGAUGUGGGAAGGCCCAGACAGCCAGGAUGUUGGCUUAGAAGCAGCCAUCAUUUAAAGAAAGCGUAAUAGCUCACUGGUCGAGUCGGCCUGCGCGGAAGAUGUAACGGGGCUAAACCAUGCACCGAAGCUGCGGCAGCGACGCUGAUGCGUUGUUGGGUAGGGGAGCGUUCUGUAAGCCUGCGAAGGUGUGCUGUGAGGCAUGCUGGA
rnacentral:rRNA from 1 species